GCAGAUGACAGACUUUGGAAAGAUCUCAGGCAGGCCGCGGCAGGAAAAGAGGGGUCCAUUUCAGGAUCAAGUCGCGUGUGCAGCCAUCACUUCUACUGUCCUCCAUCAGAGUUCAGGCUUGCUAUCCAGGUGAUGAAACCUAAUGAAACCUCCGAACACCACAGCCUAAUGGAACUCCCUGGGUGGGUAGCACGGUGUGCUAGGAGAAGUUUAUUAUUUACCUUUGUAAAGCUGAGAGCACAAUACUCAAAGGAACAACUUAAAAGAAGAGAGAUGGACUUCAGCUCACUGUUUCAGGAUGGGCUCCAUGAGGUGGGCAACAACAUCA
rnacentral:lncRNA from 1 species